rnacentral:rRNA from 1 species
GUGUCAGCCGCCGCGGUAAUACCGGCCCCGCGAGUGGUCGGGGUGAUUAUUGGGCCUAAAGCGCCCGUAGCCGGCCCGGUAAGUCUCCCCUAAAAUCCCCGGGCUCAACCCGGGGAUUGGGGGAGAUACUGCCGGGCUAGGGGGCGGGAGAGGCCGAGGGUACUCCCGGGGUAGGGGCGAAAUCCGUUAAUCCCGGGAGGACCACCCGUGGCGAAGGCGCUCGGCUGGAACGCGCCCGACGGUGAGGGGCGAAAGCCGGGGGAGCGAACCGGAUUAGAUACCCGGGUAGUCC